rnacentral:rRNA from 1 species
GUCAAGUAAGAAUACCCGCUGAACUUAAGCAUAUCAAUAAGCGGAGGAAAAGAAACUAACUAGGAUUCCCUUAGUAACGGCGAGUGAACUGGGAAGAGCUCAAAUUUUAAAUCACCUUUUGGUGAAUUGUAAUUUGAAGAAAGUGUUUUGACUUUUCAGUUUAAUCUAAAUCCUUUGGGAUGAGGUAUCAUAGAGGGUGAGAAUCCCGUUCCUGAUUAGGCCUCGAAUUGCAUUAAUUCACUUUCCAAGAGUCGAGUUGUUUGGGAUUGCAGCUCAAAAUGGGUGGUAAAUUUCACCUAAGGCUAAAUAUAUGCAAGAGACCGAUAGCGAACAAGUACCGUGAGGGAAAGAUGAAAAGAACUUUGAAAAGAGAGUUAAACAGUACGUGAAAUUGUUGAAAGGGAAACGAUUGAAGUCAGUCAUGCUAGUGAGAAAUCAGCAAGGUGGUUUACUUCCUUGUGUACUUUCUUUCAGCAGGUUAGCAUCAAUUUUGGUUGUCAUCAAAUAAUUGGGGGAAUGUGGCUUCUCUUCGGUGAAGUGUUUAUAGACCCUGGUAGAUGUGGCGACUGGGAUUGAGGAUUGCAGCGGAUGCCUUUGGCUAGUCACCUAUCUUCUGACUGUUACCUCGCUUUUGACAGCUUGCUGAUGAUCGUGGGAUUUGAUGGUUUAGAAGGUUAGAGUGUAUAUAAAUUCGCUAAGGAUGCUGACGUAAUGGCUUUAAACGACCCGUCUUGAAACACGGACCAAGGAGUCUAACAUAUGUGCGAGUGUU